UACGUAGGGUGCGAGCGUUGUCCGGAAUUAUUGGGCGUAAAGGGCUCGUAGGCGGUCUGUUGCGUCGGGAGUGAAAACUCAGGGCUUAACCCUGAGCCUGCUUCCGAUACGGGCAGACUAGAGGUAUGCAGGGGAGAACGGAAUUCCUGGUGUAGCGGUGAAAUGCGCAGAUAUCAGGAAGAACACCGGUGGCGAAGGCGGCUCUCUGGGCCUUACCUGACGCUGAGGAGCGAAAGCGUGGGUAGCGAACAGG
rnacentral:rRNA from 1 species